UUUCUAUAGUUGAAUUACAACGAUGGCUUUUCGAGCCGUAGGCCUUGGGUAGAGACCAAGUGGAAAU
rnacentral:tRNA from 1 species